rnacentral:rRNA from 1 species
UACGGAGGGUCCGAGCGUUAUCCGGAAUUAUUGGGUUUAAAGGGUCCGUAGGCGGGCAAUUAAGUCAGUGGUGAAAGUCUGUAGCUCAACUAUAGAAUUGCCUUUGAUACUGAUUGUCUUGAAUUUUAGUGAAGUAGAUAGAAUAUGUAGUGUAGCGGUGAAAUGCAUAGAUAUUACAUAGAAUACCGAUUGCGAAGGCA